rnacentral:rRNA from 1 species
CCAGACUCCUACGGGAGGCAGCAGUGGGGAAUAUUGCACAAUGGGGGAAACCCUGAUGCAGCGACGCCGCGUGAGUGAAGAAGUAUUUCGGUAUGUAAAGCUCUAUCAGCAGGGAAGAAAAUGACGGUACCUGAUUAAGAAGCCCCGGCUAACUACGUGCCAGCAGCCGCGGUAAUACGUAGGGGGCAAGCGUUAUCCGGAUUUACUGGGUGUAAAGGGAGCGUAGACGGCAGCACAAGUCUGGAGUGAAAAGGCGGGGGCUAACCCCGGAACUGCUUUGGAAACUGUGCAGCUAGAGUGCAGGAGAGGUAAGUGGAAUUCCUAGUGUAGCGGUGAAAUGCGUAGAUAUUAGGAGGAACACCAGUGGCGAAGGCGGCUUACUGGACUGUAACUGACGUUGAGGCUCGAAAGCGUGGGGAGCAAACAGGAUUAGAUACCCUUGUA